rnacentral:rRNA from 1 species
AGAGUUUGAUCCUGGCUCAGAGCGAACGCUGGCGGCAGGCUUAACACAUGCAAGUCGAACGGACUCUUCGGAGUUAGCGGCGGACGGGUGAGUAACACGUGGGAACGUGCCUUUUGGUUCGGAAUAGCUCCUGGAAACGGGUGGUAAUGCCGAAUGUGCCCUUCGGGGGAAAGAUUUAUCGCCAUUAGAGCGGCCCGCGUCUGAUUAGCUAGUUGGUGAGGUAAAGGCUCACCAAGGCUACGAUCAGUAGCUGGUCUGAGAGGAUGACCAGCCACAUUGGGACUGAGACACGGCCCAAACUCCUACGGGAGGCAGCAGUGGGGAAUCUUGCGCAAUGGGCGAAAGCCUGACGCAGCCAUGCCGCGUGUAUGAUGAAGGUCUUAGGAUUGUAAAAUACUUUCACCGGUGAAGAUAAUGACUGUAGCCGGAGAAGAAGCCCCGGCUAACUUCGUGCCAGCAGCCGCGGUAAUACGAAGGGGGCUAGCGUUGCUCGGAAUUACUGGGCGUAAAGGGAGCGUAGGCGGACAUUUAAGUCAGGGGUGAAAUCCCGGAGCUCAACUCCGGAACUGCCUUUGAUACUGGGUGUCUUGAGUGUGAGAGAGGUAUGUGGAACUCCGAGUGUAGAGGUGAAAUUCGUAGAUAUUCGGAAGAACACCAGUGGCGAAGGCGACAUACUGGCUCAUUACUGACGCUGAGGCUCGAAAGCGUGGGGAGCAAACAGGAUUAGAUACCCUGGUAGUCC